rnacentral:rRNA from 1 species
UACGGGGGGAGCAAGCGUUGUUCGGAUUUACUGGGCGUAAAGGGCGCGUAGGCGGUCGUGACAAGUCACUUGUGAAAUCUCCGGGCUUAACUCGGAACGGCCAAGUGAAACUGUUAUGCUAGAGUGCAGAAGGGGCAAUCGGAAUUCUUGGUGUAGCGGUGAAAUGCGUAGAUAUCAAGAGGAACACCUGAGGUGAAGACGGGUUGCUGGGCUGACACUGACGCUGAUGCGCGAAAGCCAGGGGAGCAAACGGG